UCUCUGCCUGAGCUAUGCUGUAGGAGUGUGGGUUUGCAGCCCUGUUGCUGCCUGUGCUGCUUGGACAGACACUGCAUCUCCUGCAGACACAAAAAAGAGCAAGCAUCAGAGCAAAGGGCUAGUCAUGCAGGGAGGGAUUUUAAUCCCACAACGGGUUAAGAGCUGCUGACCAUCACAUCCUCUUCCCAUCCAGCCCCUCCUGCAUGGAUCUCUUCCUUGCACCAGGUCAUGCAGCAUGUCUUCCGCUGCUGUGAUGGGGGAAACUACACCCACUGCCAGGUGAUUAAAAAGUCUGCCUUACUGACCCCCACUGACCUUGCACGUCACCCUUCCCAAUUCCCAGAAAGCCUUGGGCAUUUGCCUGCUCUGUAAUCUUCAGCCAACACAGUUUAGGACAGGCUCCUUCCUUGCAGAAUAAAAUCC